AGACCCGAAACCCGGUGAUCUAGCCAUGGGCAGGUUGAAGGUUGGGUAACACUAACUGGAGGACCGAACCGACUAAUGUUGAAAAAUUAGCGGAUGACCUGUGGCUGGGGGUGAAAGGCCAAUCAAACCGGGAGAUAGCUGGUUCUCCCCGAAAGCUAUUUAGGUAGCGCCUCGUGAAUUCAUCUCCGGGGGUAGAGCACUGUUUCGGCUAGGGGGCCAUCCCGGCUUACCAACCCGAUGCAAACUGCGAAUACCGGAGAAUGUUAUCACGGGAGACACACGGCGGGUGCUAACGUCCGUCGUGAAGAGGGAAACAACCCAGACCGCCAGCUAAGGUCCCAAAGUCAUGGUUAAGUGGGAAACGAUGUGGGAAGGCCCAGACAGCCAGGAUGUUGGCUUAGAAGCAGCCAUCAUUUAAAGAAAGCGUAAUAGCUCACUGGUCGAGUCGGCCUGCGCGGAAGAUGUAACGGGGCUAAACCAUGCACCGAAGCUGCGGCAGCGAACGUAUCACUUAAAGCGAUUCAGCGGGUUACGAUUGACGGAGCGAAGCGACGUCAAAGCGUAUACAAAGUCGAGUCGGUUUAAGGAUACGUUCGUUGGGUAGGGGAGCGUUCUGUAAGCCUGUGAAGGUGUGUCGUGAGGCAUGCUGGAGGUAUCAGAAGUGCGAAUGCUGACAUAAGUAACGAUAAAGCGGGUGAAAAGCCCGCUCGCCGGAAGACCAAGGGUUCCUGUCCAACGUUAAUCGGGGCAGGGUGAGUCGACCCCUAAGGCGAGGCCGAAAGGCGUAGUCGAUGGGAAACGGGUUAAUAUUCCCGUACUUGGUGUUACUGCGAAGGGGGGACGGAGAAGGCUAUGUUGGCCGGGCGACGGUUGUCCCGGUUUAAGCGUGUAGGUGUGUGUUCCAGGUAAAUCCGGUUCACUUUAACACUGAGGCGUGAUGACGAGGCACUACG
rnacentral:rRNA from 1 species